rnacentral:rRNA from 1 species
CACCGCGGUUAUACGAGAGGCCCAAGUUGACAGACUGCGGCGUAAAGCGUGGUUAAGACAGAUCAACAACCUAGACCACCUAUAAACCUAAAUAUAGGAUAUCUAAUUAAAACUAUAGCCGAAUGACCUCAAAGCAGUUAUACGCAUAUGAGACCACGAAGCCCCCUUACGAAAGUAGCUCUAACCUAAUCUGACUCCACGAAAGCUGAGAUA